rnacentral:misc_RNA from 1 species
CUGGAGAUGAAGAACUCCUUUGUCAGGGCCUGGCACUGAAUGACGAUUUGCAGCGUGUGCUACAAAGGCAUGAUGACAUAGCGAAGGGUACUCCUAGUCCCGGGGCUAGUGUUGCUACAGUUGGGCCUAUGACAGGAGGAUCUAGGGUGGCUUCAGCCAUACCUACGACAGGAGGAUCUAAGGUGGUUUCAGCCAUGCCUACAACUGGAGGUUCUAGGGUGACUUCAGCCAUGCCACUUGUUAAUGUGGACCAUGAAGAUGAUGAGUCAGAAGAUGAUUUUUCCCAGCUAUCUCGCAGGACGUCCAGAGACACUGCUGCAAGGCAAGGCAGGAAGAAUCCAGUAGUCAGGAACGAGCAGCCAUAUGCUAGUCCGCUACUUCCACCACCGCCGGCAUCAAAGAAUCCAAUCAAAACAGAUGCUGGUACCUUCGACUACCUCAGCGGAGAUAUCUAUAAAUCAGAAAGACAAACAGUUAGCCAUGUCAGCCCACCU